rnacentral:tRNA from 1 species
AAUAAGAAGCGAAAUAACUUGCACCCAGUUUCGACCUGGACAUUGAUGUAAUCCAUCCUUAUUU